UACGUAUGGAGCAAGCGUUAUCCGGAUUUACUGGGUGUAAAGGGAGCGCAGACGGCAGGGCAAGUCUGAUGUGAAAGUCCGGGGCUCAACCCCGGGACUGCAUUGGAAACUGUCCGGCUAGAGUGCAGGAGAGGUAAGUGGAAUUCCUAGUGUAGCGGUGAAAUGCGUAGAUAUUAGGAGGAACACCAGUGGCGAAGGCGGCUUACUGGACGGUAACUGACGUUGAGGCUCGAAAGCGUGGGGAGCAAACA
rnacentral:rRNA from 1 species